GGAUGCAAUCAUACCAACACUAACGCACUGGAUCCCAUCAGAACUCUGAAGUUAAGUGUGCCUGGCAAGAGUAGUACUAGGAUGAGUGACCCCCUGAUAAGUCCUUGUGUUGCAUCUG
rnacentral:rRNA from 1 species